rnacentral:rRNA from 1 species
GAUGAACGCUGGCGGCGUGCUUAACACAUGCAAGUCGAACGGUGAAAGCGGAGCUUGCUCCGCUGGAUCAGUGGCGAACGGGUGAGUAACACGUGGGCAACCUGCCCCUCACUUCGGGAUAACUCCGGGAAACCGGGGCUAAUACCGGAUAUGACCUCCUUGGGCAUCCUUGGAGGUGGAAAGUUUUUCGGUGAGGGAUGGGCCCGCGGCCUAUCAGCUUGUUGGUGAGGUAGUGGGUCACCAAGGCGACGACGGGUAGCCGGCCUGAGAGGGCGACCGGCCACACUGGGACUGAGACACGGCCCAGACUCCUACGGGAGGCAGCAGUGGGGAAUAUUGCACAAUGGGCGCAAGCCUGAUGCAGCAACGCCGCGUGAGGGAUGACGGCCUUCGGGUUGUAAACCUCUUUUAGUAGGGAAGAAGCGAAAGUGACGGUACCUGCAGAAAAAGCACCGGCUAACUACGUGCCAGCAGCCGCCGUAA